rnacentral:rRNA from 1 species
AGUUUGAUCAUGGCUCAGAUUGAACGCUGGCGGGAUGCUUUACACAUGCAAGUCGAACGGCAGCACGGGAUUGGGCCUGGUGGCGAGUGGCGAACGGGUGAGUAAUGUAUCGGAACGUGCCUAGUAGCGGGGGAUAACUACGCGAAAGCGUAGCUAAUACCGUAUACGCCCUUCGGGGGAAAGCGGGGACCUUCGGGCCUCGCACUAUUAGAGCGGCCGAUAUCGGAUUAGCUAGUUGGUGGGGUAACGGCUCACCAAGGCGACGAUCCGUAGCUGGUUUGAGAGGACGACCAGCGGCCACACUGGGACUGAGACACGGCCCAGACUCCUACGGAGGCAGCAGCAGUGGGGAAUUUUGGACAAUGGGGAAACCCUGAUCCAGCCAUCCCGCGUGUGCGAUGAAGGCUUUCGGGUUGUAAAAGAAUUUUUGGCAGGGAAAGAAACGGCACGGGAUAAUACCCGUGCAACUGACGGUACCUGCAGAAUAAGCACCGGCUAACUACGUGCCAGCAGCCGCGGUAAUACGUAGGGUGCAAGCGUUAAUCGGAAUUACUGGGCGUAAAGCGUGCGCAGGCGGUUCGGAAAGAAAGAUGUGAAAUCCCCAGAGCUUAACUUUGGAACUGCAUUUUUAACUACCGAGCUAGAGUGUGUCAGAGGGAGGUGGAAUUCCGCGUGUAGCAGUGAAAUGCGUAGAUAUGCGAGUGAACACCGAUGGCGAAGGCAGCCUCCUGGGAUAACACUGACGCUCAUGCACGAAAGCGUGGGGAGCAAACAGGAUUAGAUAAUUCUCCUGGUAGUCCACGCCCUAAAACGGAUGUCAACUAGCUGUUGGGGCCUCGGCCUUUGUAGCGCAGCUAACGCGUGAAGUUGACCGCCUGGGGAGUACGGUCGCAAGAUUAAAACUCAAAGGAAUUGACGGGACCCGCACAAGCGGUGGAUGAUGUGGAUUAAUUCGAUGCAACGCGAAAACCUACCUACCCUUGACAUGUCUGGAAUCCCGAAGAGAUUUGGGAGUGCUCGCAAGAGAACCGAACACAGGUGCUGCAUGGCCGUCGUCAGCUCGUGUCGUGAGAUGUUGGGUUAAGUCCCGCAACGAUGCAACCCUUGGUCAUUAGUUGCUACGAAAGGGCACUCCCAUCGAGACUGCCGGUGACAAACCGGAGAUGUGGGGAUGACGUCAAGUCCUCAUGGCCUUUAUGGGUAGGGCUUCACACGUCAUACAAUGGUCGGGACAGAGGGUCGCCAACCCGCGAGGGGGAGCCAAUCCCAGAAACCCGAUCGUAGUCCGGAUCGCAGUCUGCAACUCGACUGCGUGAAGUCGGAAUCGCUAGUAAUCGCGGAUCAGCAUGUCGCGGUGAAUACGUUCCCGGGUCUUGUACACACCGCCCGUCACACCAUGGGAGUGGGUUUUACCAGAAGUAGUUAGCCUAACCGUAAGGGGAGGGCGAUUACCACGGUAGGAUUCAUGAAUUGGGUGAAGUCGUAACAAGGUAG